CGCGACGCAUGCGCCCGAGCAAUGCGCACGCGCAUUCGAGUUCUCACGGAGCCUUCGCUCCCUCAGAGCUCUGAAGAGCGUGGGAAUCCGCGCUGAAUUCUUCCUGUGACAGUGUGGUUGUGCCAUGGGACUCUUCCCCGAAUGCACGUACGGCAUUGUCGGUGAACUUUUAAUGCUGGAGCUGGGUUUCAGAAGACUUCUAAGACUAAACAUCAGUUAUUGAUUUCAGCCCUGAGUUUGAUUAUUUCCUAUCAUCUCCUCUUGGCCAUCUGAUUGUCCCUGAUGUUGGCUGGAUGUCCCUGGUACCUGUAGACUCCUCAGGAAGGUUUUCUUCAUAAGACCUGGGUGGUCUGAAAGUCAUAUGAAUACCAGGCAGUUAUAGAAUUCAGAGACCUCCUGAGUCCCGGGAUUAAAGAACUACAAGACCUUCAUUAUGUUUGCAAUCAUCAAAGCAGACAUAACCAAGCAAGGAUGUAAAAUGAACUCAUGCAAAUACAAGAUGGACGGCAGCGAGGCAGAAGAGACUGAGCUUUCAAGUGCAUCAACUUAAAGUCAAACUCAGCUUAAAACAUGAGGCAAGUGAACACAUGAUGAAGAGCUUCAAAAUAUCAUUUCAUAGUGUGUAUAAGCAAAAAAAAAAACAAAAACAAAAAAUGAAAAAUAACUUCUUAAACAGAUGGAAAAUAUUAGAGACAAGACAAAUUGUGCCCAGCUCACACUCAACAUGUUACUGUUUGGGGUUUCAAUGAGCAUUGUAUUUUACAUCAUGUCCAACAUACAUUUCCCUGCUACCAACUUUUUCUGUCUCUUCCAUUCUCUCCUCAACUUCAAGACCCUUCUUUAUUUAUUACUGCUCAAAGAAUCAGGUAUUUAAGAAUUAGUUAACACCUAAAGAAACUAAUUAAGAGGGAGGACUCUGGCUAAAAUGCUUGAAAGGCAAAGAGGAUGGACAUCAGAAGAAGAAGAAAACAGGAAACAAAUUAGAAGCCUCCCACAGAGUGCCUCUGAAAGGCUCUGCCCUGCAGACUAUCAAAGCAGAUGCUGUGACUUAUGGCCAACUGUUGGACAGAGUGCAUGGAAUCUUAUGAAAGAAGUGGGAAAUAGUAAGACCUGGAGGGGAUAGGAGCUCCACAAGGAGAGCAACAGAACUAAAAAAUUUGAGCGCAGGGGUCUUUCCUGAGACUCAUACUCCAACCAAGUACCAUGCAUGGAGAUAACUUAGAAUCCCUGCACAGAUGUAGCCCAUGGCAGUUUAGUGUCCAAGUGGGUUCCAUAGUAAUAGGAACAGGGACUGUCUCUGACAUGAACUGAUUGGCCUUCUCUUUGAUCACCUCCCCCUGAGGGGGGAGUAGCCUUACCAGAUCACAGAAGAUGACAAUGCAGCCACUUCUGAGGAGAUCUGAUAGACUAGGAUCAGAAGGAAGGAGAGGAAGACCUCCCCUAUCAGUGAACUUGGGGAAGGGCAUGCAUGGAGAAGAGGGAGAGAAGGUGGGAUUGGGAGGGGAGGAGGGAAGAGUUUAUGGGGGGAUACAAAGUGAAUAAAGUGUAAUUAAUAAAAAUUAAAAAAUACUUCAAGAAUUAAAUGAAAAAAAAAAAGAAUUAGUUAACACCAUUAGACAUGGGGCACUGAAUCUAGCAUUAGGCCAUGGGCUGUUGGACCCAUUACUUGAGAUGAGGUUAUAGAUUAGAUGGCCACUAGGGGUGUAUUUUAUAUUCUUAAUCCCAUAGGACUUUAUACUUAUUAUUAAAAUGUAUUUCCAAUCUAAUAAAUAGUAAGUAACAAAAAUUAAAGGCAUAUUUUCCAAUUACUUUUUAAAGAUUGAUUUAUUUAGUUGUGUGUGUGUGUGUGUGCAUGCGCACUUUCAUGUGAUCAUUACUUACAUGGAAUUAGGAAAUGAGCAAUUCAAUGGUAAUAAUAAU